UACAGAGGUCCCGAGCGUUGUUCGGAAUUACUGGGCGUAAAGGGCUCGUAGGUGGCCAACUAAGUCAGACGUGAAAUCCCUCAGCUUAACUGGGGAACUGCGUCUGAUACUGGAUGGCUUGAGUUUGGGAGAGGGAUGCGGAAUUCCAGGUGUAGCGGUGAAAUGCGUAGAUAUCUGGAGGAACACCGGUGGCGAAGGCGGCAUCCUGGACCAACACUGACACUGAGGAGCGAAAGCCAGGGGAGCAAACGGG
rnacentral:rRNA from 1 species